rnacentral:rRNA from 1 species
UACGGAGGAUCCGAGCGUUAUCCGGAUUUAUUGGGUUUAAAGGGUGCGUAGGCGGCCUUUUAAGUCAGCGGUGAAAGUCUGUGGCUCAACCAUAGAAUUGCCGUUGAAACUGGGGGGCUUGAGUAUGUUUGAGGCAGGCGGAAUGCGUGGUGUAGCGGUGAAAUGCGUAGAUAUAAGGAAGAACACCAGUGGCGAAGGCGGAUGACUGGACGGCAACUGACGGUGAGGCGCGAAAGCGUGGGGAGCAAAUAGG